GAUGAACGCUGGCGGCGUGCUUAACACAUGCAAGUCGAACGAAGCAUUUAAGACGGAUUUCUUCGGGAUGAAGACUUUUAUGACUGAGUGGCGGACGGGUGAGUAACGCGUGGGUAACCUGCCUCACACAGGGGGAUAGCAGCUGGAAACGGCUGGUAAUACCGCAUAAGCGCACAGUACCGCAUGGUACGGUGUGAAAAACUCCGGUGGUGUGAGAUGGACCCGCGUCUGAUUAGCUAGUUGGUGGGGUAAUGGCCUACCAAGGCGACGAUCAGUAGCCGGACUGAGAGGUUGGCCGGCCACAUUGGGACUGAGACACGGCCCAG
rnacentral:rRNA from 1 species